GAUGAACGCUGGCGGCGUGCCUAAUACAUGCAAGUCGAGCGAACAGACGAGGAGCUUGCUCCUCUGACGUUAGCGGCGGACGGGUGAGUAACACGUGGAUAACCUACCUAUAAGACUGGGAUAACUUCGGGAAACCGGAGCUAUUACCGGAUAAUAUAUUGAACCGCAUGGUUCAAUAGUGAAAGACGGUUUUGCUGUCACUUAUAGAUGGAUCCGCGCCGCAUUAGCUAGUUGGUAAGGUAACGGCUUACCAAGGCAACGAUGCGUAGCCGACCUGAGAGGGUGAUCGGCCACACUGGAACUGAGACACGGUCCAGACUCCUACGGGAGGCAGCAGUAGGGAAUCUUCCGCAAUGGGCGAAAGCCUGACGGAGCAACGCCGCGUGAGUGAUGAAGGUCUUCGGAUCGUAAAACUCUGUUAUUAGGGAAGAACAAAUGUGUAAGUAACUAUGCACGUCUUGACGGUACCUAAUCAGAAAGCCACGGCUAACUACGUG
rnacentral:rRNA from 1 species